CCUACGGGAGGCAGCAGUGGGGGAUAUUGGACAAUGGGGGGAACCCUGAUCCAGCGACGCCGCGUGAGUGAAGAAGUAUUUCGGUAUGUAAAGCUCUGUCAGCAGGGAAGAAAGAAAUGACGGUACCGGACCAAGAAGCCCCGGCUAACUACGUGCCAGCAGCCGCGGGAAUACGUAGGGGGCAAGCGUUAUCCGGAAUUACUGGGUGUAAAGGGAGCGUAGACGGUUAAGUAAGUCUGGAGGGAAAGGCCGGGGCCCAACCCCGGGACUGCUCUGGAAACUAUUGAACUUGAGUGCAGGAGAGGUAAGCGGAAUUCCUAGUGUAGCGGUGAAAUGCGUAGAUAUUAGGCGGAACACCAGUGGCGAAGGCGGCUUACUGGACUGUAACUGACGUUGAGGCUCGAAAGCGUGGGGAGCAAACAGGAUUAGAUACCCCUGUAGUC
rnacentral:rRNA from 1 species